rnacentral:rRNA from 1 species
UACGUAGGGACCAAGCGUUGUUCGGAUUUACUGGGCGUAAAGGGCGCGUAGGCGGCUUAACAAGUCACUUGUGAAAUCUCCGGGCUUAACUCGGAACGGCCAAGUGAAACUGUCAAGCUAGAGUGCAGAAGGGGCAAUCGGAAUUCUUGGUGUAGCGGUGAAAUGCGCAGAUAUCAGGAGGAACACCGAUUGCGAAGGCAGCUCGCUGGAACGUUACUGACGCUGAGACGCGAAAGCGUGGGGAGCAAACAGG